GCGGGCCCUGCGCACCAGGCUUAGUAAACGCGGGUCGUGCGCCUGUGCACACGUCCCAUUCACACGGGCGCAAGGUGCAUAGUCUGUGUGUGUCACAUAGCAUGUAGACAGACGCACAACUCUUCACGCGUAGCUGGUCUGAGCGUGCGUCAGGCUUGGGCGACGCAAGCAACUGAUUGGGCGGCGUGUCGCCGUCAUUUUGGUCAUGUACCUCCAAUUUUUACACAACUGUUGCAUCGUCAUCAUUGCAUCGACCAUCCAUCAAUCAUGUCCAUCAGUCGUCAUAUCACAUCAAGUCUCAUUUUCCUUCCUUUUCUCCUCACAAGAUUUUGCCACUUAGCACAAAUUUAACUAUCCCUAUUUUCUAUAAAUGGGGACCCCUUUUCACCAUUUCUUCAUCAACCCAACUUCAUUCUUC
rnacentral:lncRNA from 1 species